GAUGAACGCUAGCGGCAGGCCUAACACAUGCAAGUCGAGGGAGGAGCUUUCGGGCUUCGACCGGCGUACGGGUGCGUAACGCGUAUACAAUCUGCCUUUCACAUAGGGAUAGCCCGAAGAAAUUUGGAUUAAUACCUAAUGGUAUAUAGGUGUGGCAUCACAUUUAUAUUAAAGCUGAGGCGGUGAAAGAUGAGUAUGCGUUCUAUUAGCUAGUUGGAGAGGUAACGGCUCCCCGAGGCGACGAUAGAUAGGGGUUCUGAGAGGGAUAUCCCCCACACUGGUACUGAGAUACGGACCAGACUCCUACGGGAGGCAGCAGUGAGGAAUAUUGGACAAUGGUCGGAAGACUGAUCCAGCCAUGCCGCGUGCAGGAAGACGGCCUUAUGGGUUGUAAACUGCUUUUGCAGGGGAAGAAUAAGGACUACGAGUAGUUUGAUGACGGUACUCUGCGAAUAAGCAUCGGCUAA
rnacentral:rRNA from 1 species